GACGAACGCUGGCGGCGUGCUUAACACAUGCAAGUCGAACGAAGUGGCGAACGGGUGAGUAACGCGUAAUCAACCUGCCCGUCAGAGGGGGAAAACAGUUAGAAACGAAUGCAAAUACCGAAUACUGAAGGAGGGGAUUGCGUCUGAUUGGAUAUGUGGAGGGGUAACGGCCCACCAGGGCGAUGAUCAGUAGCCGGUCUGAGAGGAUGAACGGCCACAUUGUGACUGAGACACGGCCCAGACUCCUACGGGAGGCAGCAGUGGGGAAUCUGCCGCAAUGGACGAAAGUCUGACGGAGCAACGCCGCGUGAGUGAUGACGGCCUUCGGGUUGUAAAGCUCUGUUAAUCGGGACGCGGUACCGGAAUAGAAAGCCACGGCUAACUACGUGCCAGCAGCCGCGGUAAUAC
rnacentral:rRNA from 1 species